AGGUGCCAUUCCGAGGGCCAGGAGUUGGAUUAUGUGUCACUCUGGCUGCUCUGGCCCCCUC
rnacentral:pre_miRNA from 1 species